UCAGUCAUAUAACUGCAUAUAUAUGUGUGUCACUUUUUGUCUCAGUCAACAACGCUGUCUUCAGCCACAAAAAACAUGCUUGAGCAAAAUCACUCACUGUCAAUUUCACGUUGUAACACACACUCGUCUUUCACAAACAAAAUGGCCAUGUCCACUCAUGCCAAAGUACAGUAACACAGCAAGGCGAUUGUCUAAAGCGUAAAGUACAUGACAUUAUAAAGUAUAAUUCAAAUGAUGUGUUUAUCAUCACUCGUACAUUUUUCUGCUUAUGAUGUCGCUAAAGCUCAGUCACUGUGGUGCUAAUAAUAGUAGCAUGUUCAGCAUCUUUGAUUAGGCUUUCUGGCUACUGUGUUCUGUUCCUGUGAUGUUGUGAAAAAUGUACCUCUAUUAGCAGUUGCACAAGGUUGUCUAGAACAGCAGCAGAAACAAGCGUCAACAUCUGUAUGCAUUUCAUGAGUUGUUGAAGCAUGUCCUAAUUGAGCCGCCAUGUGCUAAGAAACAGUGGACACAAGAAUGCAAAACAUAGUAUGUAGCGAGCACUGUGACACCUGUUUUAUAUUUUGAUAUUAAUUGUUUCUUAGCAUGCGGCUCAAGUAUGCCAAACUAACCAGCCUUUCUAGUCUUGCUGAGCAGAUCCCAGAGUUGACUUCGUGAAACACAGCAUGGAAGAAGAUGAGGAAGACAAAGAAAGAACAGACAGGAUAAACCACUGACGUCACCAUAUUUUUCUGCAUGUAACUUGCGCACCAAUUACAACGCCUCAGAAAGAAAAAGCCACGCAUAUAACCCACAAAUGCAUAACUGCAUACAAAGAUGUUGGUCUUUGUGAAAACAGUUUGGCACUUUAUCAACACAUAGAGAUGCUUUCAAUGUUUAGUCGUCACAGCUCACACUCGUCACGACUUUUCCACGUCCUUUCUUCGGCCUGCGGCUCUGUUCUACACCACUUUGGUGGCGCUGAUGCCAUUCAGCUUCUUUUGUGCUGUUAAGCACCACCAUCAAGUGCAGCUAAUUAUAAUCUGAGAUUUGGUCCACCAGCGCUAUUUACUAACUACUAACACAACUAAAAUGAAAAAUGGCAACUCGAAAAGAGUAGAAGGGACGACCGUGAAAGAGA
rnacentral:lncRNA from 1 species